rnacentral:hammerhead_ribozyme from 1 species
GCACUGCUGAGGAGUCCUAUAAUAGGACGAAACGGCCUUCCAGUGU